ensembl:lncRNA
AGGAAGUGUCCCCCUUUUUCCCUUCCCCUCCUCCAGCAGCAGGAUGUGAUCCACCGGCAAGGGAGGACGCCAACAAGGCGUCCGAUAAGGCACCUGCUCUCUGCCUGUCUGUCACCUUUACAUAUGCUGUUGCCAGCCUUCUAGGAGAUGGGCCAGUUGGAUGGAAGUUGGAAAUGAAGAAAUGUUGUCUUGUGCAUCACAAGAGAGUGACAUCGAUCAUGACUUCACCUCCCCUGUGGGCCCACCUGUUACCCACCAGAUUCUUCUUAAAGAAGAGGAUUCCUGGAAGAUGAAGACAUCGAAUGCUUUGCUGGAAACCAAUGGCAUUCCUCUCUUCAUUCCUCCCUGAAUGACUUGAAAAGAAAGUCUUUACUCAUUUUGCUUCAACAAAGCCUGAACAAUGGGUGGUGUGUGCAAAGCCUCUUUCCCACUAGACCUAUGGUGUCAGCCUGUGAGUCUAUUCACAGAAGAUAAUGCAUGGCCUCCCAGCUUAGACCAGAGCACUCUCUAUCUUAAGGCUUCUCUCAUUUUCUUUCUGGCAUUUUAAUCCCUAGCAUUACCCAAGAAUUAAACUAAGAAAAAAAUGUUGGUGUCUCCAAGCCACAGGAAGCUGUUCUUUUUGCUCUGUGACUUAUCCUCAUUUGGAAUCCUAGGAGGGGCCCUGAGAGGCCAGAAACCUCCUCUUCAGUCCUGUUUAUUCUGUCAGCUGCUGUCUGAAAGAUUUUACUCUUAAUUUAUCCUCAUAUGGUAAAAGUUCCCUUUGAGGGAGAGAAAAGUGAUUUUUUUUUUUUAGUUUUUAACUAAAAAUAAAGUUUUUCUCAACAAAAGAUGACAUUUCCAAAGAAAUAUGUAAUCCUUCAUUCAUUUUUAUUGUAUUUUGCUUAAUGGCUACUGGAUUAACUGUUAGAAAUAAAUGCAAACCAUUUGACAACUUGGAAAGAACAUGUGAUGAAAUUCAUAGUAUUUGGGUUCAAAGUCUAAACCACUGUUGAACUGAUAAACUAUCAAAUAUGGAGACAAAAAAAAUUCCAGUAUGUGCUUAGUGGUUGAACUUGGAAGACAAGCAAUGCACUGAGUAACAGAAAACAAGCCCUCCUGUUACAUUGGACAACACUGUGACUGAGAUUAGAAAUGUAGACUUCAGAAGAUUCAUUAUUUAUCUAACUUUAGCUUUGUCUUCUACAACCACGUUCCAAUUGUUAACUAUGUUAAGGAAUCCAUGGGAUUGUGUGCUGGCUAUUUUUAUGUCAAUUUGACACAGUUGGAAUCAUCUCAGAGGAAGGAAACUCAACUAAGAAAAAGCCUCCAAAAUAUCAGGCUUUUGGGCACUUUUCUUAAUUUGUGAGUGAUGAGGGAGGGCCCAGCCCAUUGUGGGUGGUGCCACCAAUGGACUGUUGGCCCUGGGUUCUAAAAUAAAGCAGGCUGAGCAAGCCAUAGGGGACAAGCUCCUGUCCCCAGGUUCCAGCUCUCUUUUGAAUUGCUGACCUGAGUUCAUUCUUUGAUGAACAGUGAUGUAGAAGUAUAAGCUAAAUAAAUCCCUUUCUUCCAAAGUUGGUUUGGUCUUGCUGUUUCCUCACAGCAAACUUAACUCAAGAGAAAUUUGUAACUCUGUAUUUCCUGCCUGCAAUUUCUUCCAUUUUAGAUUCAGUCUUUCUAAAAAGGAGAGAAUGAUAUACAGAAUUUGAUGACUAUGAAAAUAAACCUAACUCCUAAAGGGAGUUUUAUAAAAGUUAUUCAGGCUAGAGAAAGAAAGUAGCUGAUUCAUGGCAAAUAUUGGGAGUUUUCUCACAAUUUUCAUUUUAUCAAUUAUAGUUUUGUUUGUCUCUUACACGGAUGGUCACAUUAUCCCUAUUGAUAAAGGUUGUUGCUAUGUAGCCCAGGCAGGGCUUGAAUGUUCAGUCCUCUUUCCUUCUAACCCCAGAUUGCUAGAGUUACAUUUGUUCAUUGCUGCUUGUGUCUCAUUAGCAAAAUUUAAUAUAAAAAGAUGUCCAGUUUUUAUACUGUGUCUCUUUAGUGUUUGCUACCCAAAGAAAUCCUGAAAAAAAUGACAAGAGAAAAUUAGCUUAAUGUAUUCCGGAUGUUUGUUUGUUUAUUGUUCCUAGCAUUGUUUUCUAAAGAGAUUGGUCUUGGUUACACAUAAAAAAGAUAUAAUAUUCUGUCCUGACCUCUGCUGAGAGCCCUCAUUCCGACGCUGAAGGACGCAGAGGCAGACACCCACAACCAAACACUGAACUGAACUCUGGAACCCAGUUGCAAAGAGGGAGGAGUGAAGAGCAAAGAGGUCUGGACCAGGCUGGUGAAACCCACAGAUACAGCUGGCCUGAACAAGGGGGAGCACAUGGACCCCAGAUUGAUGUCUGGGAGGCCAGCAUGGGACUGAUCGUGAUGCCUGAACAUCAAUGAGGAGGCCCGAGGCACUCUAUAGCACCCCUGGUAGUGGAUCAGUGUUUACCCCUGGUGUAAGAAGGGACUUUGGGAGUCCAUCCACAUGGAGGGAUACUCUCGCAGCCUGGAUGCAAGUGGGAGGGCCUAGGCCCUGGCCAGGAUGAUAUGACUUACAUUAAGGAACCCCCAUGGAGGGCCUUUCCCUCCCUGGGGAGCAGAAGGGUAAC